CUGCCGCUUGCGGGCACGAACCGCGCUACCGCCGUCAGCAGGCAGUCUUAUUACGCCCGCACUCAACUACGCGAACUAAGUACUCUUCUUAGGCCGGCCACACAUCGAAUAACAAUCGCGUGGUCUAGCUUACGCGUGAAUUCGGUCCAUACAUCAAACGGUGUUCGUUCUCCAUUGAAAAUUUCGGAUCUUUUCUAUAUCUCUUGGCGUACAACAUUUUUUGUAUGUUCGAUCCAGCGGUUCGGUUCCAGCGACGACUCUCAUUUUCGAAUCGACGAAAACAAUUUUAAAAUCAGUUAGCGAAUCGAGUCGGGAGGCGGCGAGAAACCCUCGAGUUCGAUUAAUCGGCGAGGACCUGCUGCCCGGUCAGAGAGUGACAUUGUCUCCCCCCCGCGCCAAAUUGACGAAUCAAAAUUCGACAGGCACGCUUGACCUGGAAUGCCAGUUUUACGCGCAACGUACGAAGGAACGCGUGUGUCGUGAGUUUCGUGUGUAAAUAGAAGAGGACAGACGCGUCCUAUCCGCUGUCGUGGCUGUGGCGUCGAUUAGUUUCAUUUUCUUGGUAGUAGAAGCACGUCGCUGUUAACAUUGACGGUCAUUACGUUGUUUGUCGCGCGCCAAGAAUUCGCGUCCGCGCAUACCGAACUGUCACGAUUACCGCGUGUCACGAAUUCAUCUUAUAUUUUGAUCGUCCAGAAUGUCGUCUUAUUUAAGUCCGCAAAACCUACGUAGAUAAUCAACUGUGCUAUGUCGUGAAAGGUGGCUCGGUAAUUCGAGGAAGAUGAAAACAUUGAAUCGUGAUAGAUUCGACAAAAACAAUG
rnacentral:misc_RNA from 1 species